rnacentral:rRNA from 1 species
CCUACGGGCGGCUGCAGUGGGGAAUAUUGGACAAUGGGCGAAAGCCUGAUCCAGCCAUGCCGCGUGUGUGAAGAAGGCCUUCGGGUUGUAAAGCACUUUCAGUGGGGAAGAAAGCCUUGGGGCUAAUACCCUCGAGGAAGGACAUCACCCACAGAAGAAGCACCGGCUAACUCCGUGCCAGCAGCCGCGGUAAUACGGAGGGUGCGAGCGUUAAUCGGAAUUACUGGGCGUAAAGCGCGCGUAGGCGGUCUGAUAAGCCGGUUGUGAAAGCCCCGGGCUCAACCUGGGAACGGCAUCCGGAACUGUCAGGCUAGAGUACAGGAGAGGAAGGUAGAAUUCCCGGUGUGGCGGUGAAAUGCGUAGAGAUCGGGAGGAAUACCAGUGGCGAAGGCGGCCUUCUGGACUGACACUGACGCUGAGGUGCGAAAGCGUGGGUAGCAAACAGGAUUAGAUACCCUUGUAGUC